UCCUACUCCUAGGCCACAUCUACCUUAGCAGAGGAGAGCAUUCUGUACAGCCUUGGGGCGAGUGGGAGAGAUACUCAGGAGUCAGCAGAGCUUGACCACAGAAGGGAGAGGAAACAGAAGAAUGGCCCAGAACAGGAGGCAGUCUGCUGAGCUCGCUACAGCCAGAGAACCUCACCAGACACAGAGCACAGUCUCAUCUUCCUGCCUGGAGUCGGCCAGCACCAGGAGCAACCCUCAGGCCUUCCUAGCUCUCCAGCCUCCUGCUCCCUCUCUACCUCAGCUCCAGCACAGAUUUCCUCACCCCUGGAGUUCCUUCUUCUUCCUCCAUUUCCACUUGCUCUACCCCUGUCCUGCCUGAAGAAUAGAUUUUGCAGGCAAAUAAAGUGUUAAAUAUACAAUUUGGGUUAAGUGUUGAACUUGGAUCAAGGUUAACAGAAACAGGGUGCCAGACUCUCCAGGGGCCUUGAAGAGCAUCCCCAAACCCAAACAUAACAGCAUCUUAAAGCAGAACAUCAUGUGGGAGUGGAGUGGAGAGUGAUGUUUAACAGUAUGAAGAUGUGUGCAGUCUUGGUGAAGAACACCAUCAUGAAACUGAGCAGGAAGGAUCACAGUAUUCAGAAGCAAAAGGGUCAGUAUAUAUUAACUGAUUUUGUUUUAAUGUCAUGAGAAAGAAAGCCAACUCC
rnacentral:lncRNA from 1 species